rnacentral:lncRNA from 1 species
AGGAAUUUUCCCCACAAGCAGAUGCCCUGAUGUCCAACCAGAAGAAGUGAAACUGGUGAUGGGUCUGGAGAGGUAAAGACCUGUGGCCAGCUUCUGUCACUGCCAUCUGCCAUUGCAUUUUGGUUGCUUGCUUUUGGUUUUGCAAGAAGCGGGGCCUCUGUCUCCGUCUGAUCUGC